rnacentral:lncRNA from 1 species
UGAAACUCAUAGACAUUGGAUCAAACAUUCAAGAUGGAUGCCAUAUUAAAAUCAUGUACACAAAUUUGGAGUAGCCAUACACCAAAAAUUAUACUAGUCCUUGUUUGAACAUAUAGCUGAUGAUCAAUAGCAUGGCUAAUCCUAGCUAAUGAACACAAUGAACACAAUGUUAUCCUAGCUUAACAUAGUAGAUGCUAUCCGUGGCAACCAUCUUCGUCAAAAACUCUAAUUGGAUUGUUUGGCUGCACAUUGUUGUUGACAAGCUGUUGGCUAGCAGCAGCUAGAAGUUCCUGAAAAAAGUGUGCAUUACAGGCAGGCACAAAGUUAGACUAGUUCCAUCCUUCACUAUUUCAGAAUUACUUUCUCAACUAAUUGGCAAACUUACUUUGGUACGAGUACCUACCAUACAUUAUUUUUCAGAACUGAAUUUUCAGAUCAUAAGUUUUCAGCUAUCCUAGCUUAACAUAGUACAUGCUAUAUGUGGCAGCCAUGUUUGUCAAAAACACUAAAUGGAUUGUUUCAGUGAACUAUAGUUGCUUUGGAAUCUUGUUUCAGCUCUAUAGUACAUUGGUAUGACCAUAUAUAAUGAGGAUGUCAGGCUUUUCUGAUAAUCCUAUAUCUGAUCUUGUAAAUUCAAGGACAUGUAAAUUCAGGCUAAUAUGCUGUCCUCAGUCCAAUCCACAUAUCCAAUAAAUUUAAAUUCAACAUGUAGAUCAGCAAACUUGAUUUGAACAAUGUAUCAAGGAGACAAAGGGGUAGGAUUUGCCUAGUGUUGGCUGACUUGAGUCUACACAACUGUGCUUGAAUAGCAGGUUGUAGCCUGG